rnacentral:rRNA from 1 species
GGGGAAUUUUGGACAAUGGGGGCAACCCUGAUCCAGCCAUGCCGCGUGAGUGAAGAAGGCCUUCGGGUUGUAAAGCUCUUUCGGCCGGGAAGAAAUCGUGCAGGCUAAUACCCUGUAUGGAUGACGGUACCGGUAUAAGAAGCACCGGCUAACUACGUGCCAGCAGCCGCGGUAAUACGAAGGGUGCAAGCGUUACUCGGAAUUACUGGGCGUAAAGCGUGCGUAGGUGGUGGUUUAAGUCCGUUGUGAAAGCCCUGGGCUCAACCUGGGAACUGCGCUUGUGACUGCAAGACUAGAGUACGGCAGAGGGGGGUGGAAUUCCACGUGUAGCAGUGAAAUGCGUAGAGAUGUGGAGGAACACCAAUGGCGAAGGCAGCCCCCUGGGUCGAUACUGACGCUCAUGCACGAAAGCGUGGGGAGCAAACA